rfam:Xanthomonas fragariae strain PD5205 genome assembly, chromosome: 1
AUGUACCACUCGUCCACUGCGGUUCUGAGCGCGCCGUCCGCACUCCACUAACGACUGCUCGCUAGGUGUUGUUAGCC